AACGCGAAGAACCUUACCAAGUCUUGACAUCUGGAUGACAGGAACUUAACCGUUCCCUCCCUUCGGGGCAUCCAAGACAGGUGGUGCAUGGUUGUCGUCAGCUCGUGUCGUGAGAUGUUGGGUUAAGUCCCGCAACGAGCGCAACCCCUGUCCUUAGUAGCCAGCAGUAAGAUGGGCACUCUAGGGAGACUGCCGGGGACAACCCGGAGGAAGGCGGGGACGACGUCAAAUCAUCAUGCCCCUUAUGAUUUGGGCUACACACGUGCUACAAUGGCGUAAACAAAGGGAAGCGAGAGUGUGAGCUGGAGCAAAUCCCAAAAAUAACGUCCCAGUUCGGACUGCAGUCUGCAACUCGACUGCACGAAGCUGGAAUCGCUAGUAAUCGCGGAUCAGAAUGCCGCGGUGAAUACGUUCCCGGGUCUUGUACACACCG
rnacentral:rRNA from 1 species